GGCCUGUCGCUGGCAUCUGAUGAUGUCAGAGGAAAGUCCGGGCAGCACAGAGCAUCCCACUACCUAAUAUAGUAGCACUCCGCGAGGGGUGAGUAAUGCAGAAGAAAACAACCGCCCCGCCCCGGCGGGGCAAGGGUGAGAAGGCGGGGUAAGAGCCCACCAGCGCCAUGGCGACAUGACGGCUGUGCAUCUUGGGAGCUGCAAGUUCAUGUAAACUGCUGUUUGAGGGUUGCUCGCCCGAGGCAGAGGGUAGAACGCUUGAGCUGUGUGGCGACAUACAGAUUAGAUAAAUGACAGGCAUCGUCAUGUGUGAGCAUAACAAUGUUUACUGCAAGAAGAUACAGAACCCGGCUUACAGGAA
rnacentral:RNase_P_RNA from 1 species